rnacentral:rRNA from 1 species
AUGCACGCUGGCGGCGUGCCUAAUACAUGCCAGUCGAGCGAACGGACGAGAAGCUUGCUUCUCUGAUGUUAGCGGCGGACGGGUGAGUAACACGUGGAUAACCUACCUAUAAGACUGGGAUAACUUCGGGAAACCGGAGCCAAUACCGGAUAAUAUUUUGAACCGCAUGGUUCAAAAGUGAAAGACGGUCUUGCUGUCACUUAUAGAUGGAUCCGCGCUGCAUUAGCUAGUUGGUAAGGUAACGGCUUACCAAGGCAACGAUGCAUAGCCGACCUGAGAGGGUGAUCGGCCACACUGGAACUGAGACACGGUCCAGACUCCUACGGGAGGCAGCAGUAGGGAAUCUUCCGCAAUGGGCGAAAGCCUGACGGAGCAACGCCGCGUGAGUUAUGAAGGUCUUCGGAUCGUAAAACUCUGUUAUUAGGGAAGAACAUAUGUGUAAGUAACUGUGCACAUCUUGACGGUACCUAAUCAGAAAGCCACGGCUAACUACGUG